AGCGAACGUUAGCGGCGGGCCUAACACAUGCAAGUCGAGCGAGAAAGUGGCUUCGGCCAUCAGUAAAGCGGCGGACGGGUGAGUAACACGUAGGUAAUUUUCCUUCCAGCGGGGGACAACGUUCCGAAAGGGACGCUAAUACCGCGUACGUUUCUCGGGACUCCGGUCCUGAGAAGGAAAGCUAGGUAGCAAUAUCCGGCACUGGAUGAGAAGCCUGCGUAGCAUCAGCUAGUUGGUGGGGUAACGGCCACCAAGGCGAAGACGCUUAGCUGGUCUGAGAGGAUGGCCAGCCACAUUGGGACUGAGAGACGGCCCAGACUCCUACGGGAGGCAGCAGUGGGGAAUCUUGCGCAAUGGCCGAAAGGCUGACGCAGCGACGCCGCGUGUGGGAUGAAGCAUUUCGGUGUGUAAACCAACUGUUGCCCGGGACGAACAGCCUUUUCGAGAGGCCUGACGGUACCGGGUGAGGAAGCACCGGCUAACUCCGUG
rnacentral:rRNA from 1 species